UACGGAGGGUGCGAGCGUUGUCCGGAAUCACUGGGCGUAAAAGGGCGCGUAGGCGGUCUGCUAAGCGUGCGGUGAAAGCCUGGGGCUCAACCCCAGGUCUGCCGUGCGAACUGGUGGACUAGAGCACUGUAGAGGCAGGUGGAAUUCCGGGUGUAGCGGUGGAAUGCGUAGAGAUCCGGAAGAACACCGGUGGCGAAGGCGGCCUGCUGGGCAGUUGCUGACGCUGAGGCGCGCAGCGUGGGGAGCAAACGAGG
rnacentral:rRNA from 1 species